rnacentral:rRNA from 1 species
UUUGCUAUGGGGGGCAGCAGUAGGGAAUCUUCCACAAUGGACGAAAGUCUGAUGGAGCAACGCCGCGUGAGUGAAGAAGGGUUUCGGCUCGUAAAGCUCUGUUGGUAGUGAAGAAAGAUAGAGGUAGUAACUGGCCUUUAUUUGACGGUAAUUACUUAGAAAGUCACGGCUAACUACGUGCCAGCAGCCGCGGUAAUACGUAGGUCCCGAGCGUUGUCCGGAUUUAUUGGGCGUAAA